GUGGUUUUUGGGGAAGUAAAAGUCGUAACAAGGUCUCCGUUGGUGAACCAGCGGAGGGAUCAUUA
rnacentral:rRNA from 1 species